UGUACUGCAAGGCGCUUCUGCGCUUCCGCUCCGCAUCGCCAUUUCCCCGCCCCCCACACCCAUCUCUCGUCUCCCUCGCCGCCGCCUCUUCGUCGGCAUACGGCGAUCGCCGUGAACUACCCUCGCUCCCUCCCACGUCCGCCGUCACUAUCAUCACUCCUCGCCUCCUCUCUCGCCCUCCGCCGCUGCCUAGGGUUUCGUGUGUUCGCUGGCUGGUUUGGAUUCAGGGGGUAGGGUUUGGCUCCCCUGAGAAAGGAUAUGGUGCCGAACGGGCUGCUGCCCAAUGUGGCGGUGGGGGUGACGCGGCGCCUGGACGCCGAGCGUUGGGCCGUCGCGGAGGAGCGCACUGCCGAGCUGAUCGCGCGCAUCCAGCCCACUCCUUGGUCUGAGGAUCGCCGCCGGGCCGCCGCCGGUUAUGUCCAGCGGCUUAUUAUGGGGUGCCUUUCCUGUCAGGUUUUUACUUUUGGGUCAUUCCCGCUCAAGACUUAUUUACCCGAUGGUGAUAUUGAUGUCACAGCUUUCAGUAACAGUGAAGAAUUAAAGGAUACAUGGGCAGUUAUGGUUCAGGAUGCAUUGGAACAUGAGGAGAAAAGUGAGAAGGCUGAAUUUCGAGUGAGAGAAGUACAGUAUAUUCAGGCAGAGGUAAAGAUAAUUAAGUGUCUUGUGGAAAACAUUGUUGUUGACAUCUCUUUCAACCAAGUUGGUGGUUUGUGUACACUUUGUUUCCUUGAAGAGAUGGACCACCUGAUCAGUCAAAACCAUCUGUUCAAGCGAAGUAUCAUACUGAUAAAGGCCUGGUGUUACUAUGAAAGUCGUAUACUUGGAGCUCAUCAUGGUCUUAUAUCGACAUAUGCCCUAGAGACUCUGGUUCUUUACAUUUUUCAUGUCUUCAACAAUUCUUUUGCUGGACCACUUGAGGUAUUGUAUCGGUUCCUAGAAUUCUUUAGUAACUUUGAUUGGGAGAAAUUUUGUGUAAGCUUGUGGGGUCCAGUUCCUAUAAGCUCUCUUCCGGACAUGUCUGCGGAUCCUCCACGAAAGGAUGGUGGCGCUUUAUUGCUCAGCAAGUCCUUCCUAGAUAUUUGCAGUUCUAUAUAUGCAGUUACGCCCAGUCCCCAUAACAACCAGGUUCAGCCAUUUGUUUCGAAGUACUUCAAUGUAAUUGACCCUUUACGAGCAAACAAUAACCUUGGAAGAAGUAUAAGCAAAGGUAACUUCUUUAGAAUACGCAGCGCGUUUGCUUUUGGAGCAAAAAGAUUGGCAAGGAUACUUGAAUGUCCGAAGCAAGACAUAGCCAUUGAAGUGAAACAAUUCUUUACAAAUACAUGGAGAAGGCAUGGUAAUGGUAAUCGUCCUGAUGCACCUGCCCAGAGUCUGAUUCAUCAAACUGUGAAGGUUGUGCCUGUUGAAGUGCCAAGCAGUCACAAAAAUGCAACGGCACACAAGAAAAAGUUUAAAGGCCCUACAACACACAUUGAUGAUGAUGGUCUCACUGAAUACACUCAAAACUAUCAUAACCCUGCCACUCAACUUGUAACGAAAGCAAAUGUACAGUAUCGGGGUUCACCAAGAACAGCUCUUUCUGUUGUUUAUCCUUCUCAGAGCCAGAAAAUUCGUGCAGUGCAAACAAAUGCUGAGGUUGCUGGACAGUUGGAGAAAACCAGCAUUCCUAGUGGAUCAUUGCUGGGCGAAAAGGUUCAAAGAAUAUCAAAGAGUCACUCCACUGUGAAUGAACAGAAUGGACAAAGCAGGUUUCAGUUUGCUAGAACAAAUUCUAGUCCUGACUUAACAGACUCUUCAGUUCAUGGUUUUCCUUCUAGCAGACGUACUAUAGUAUCUGAAGUAGAAAAAUCAUCAAAGGCUGAGUACAGUAGCACAGGAAAUAACAUGAUUCUAGGGGUUUCUAGCAACCAUGGCAGAAAGUCUUCACAGGAAAAGCCAGUGUCUUCCAUGAAUGCUUCAUCUAGCAUAUUAGUAUCAGGUCCAAGUAGUGUUUCCAGCAGCAAUCAUGAAGAUACUUGUUUUGCAACAAAUGAAGAGCUUGCUUCGGUCUCUGAAGCUUCAGAUGUUCUACACAAGGGAAGUCCUAGGGAACAUAAUCUGAUGGAUGGGUUGAAUGGACAGGUUCCUUUGCAAGUGCGAAUACCAUGUCAUCCUUCUCUAGCGCCUCUCCCCCUUGUGGCCUCAUCAGGUUAUCCUCUGAGAAAUCUAGCUGGGAUUUUGCCACCAAAUUUUUCGUUUAUCGGAACUCCAUGGUUACACAACAUGCAGUUUGUUCAUGGAUUUGUUCCACCACCUAUGACCCAGUAUGUUGGUAGAACUGCUUUUGUAUCAAACUCUGAAAAUUGCAUUGAGAGUGAGACAUCUGCUACUACUGGCACAAAUUAUGAUGAUGGAGGUAAUUGGCAUGAACAUGAUGCUGGAUUGUCUGGAAACUAUAAUCGGGAGAGCAUAAACCCUGAAAUUUUUAAUUUUAAGGAUCUUGCCUCUUCUCUACAUGACAUACCUGGUGCCCGUUUGCAAGGACAGAAAAAAUCUGGUAUUGAGGAUAGAGGUGAAACACUAAGAGAAAAUUCUGCUGAUAUUUUUCACAAAGUAUAUGGGGGGACCAGCUUUGGUGUAAUAAGAUUAGUUUCUUCACAAGGAAGCUCUGGACAUACCAUUUCAGACAGCUCAUGUGAUGAAUCAACUGGGGUGAUCCUAACAUCAUCAAGAGGUAAAUGGGGUAAAACACCUUUAGCUAUGACACCUUCCUCUCCCUCACAGUUGCGGAGUACAACAAAGACCAGUUGGCAGUUCGAAAAUAUGACUGAGCGCAUCACAUCAGGACUUGAUGGCAAUAGAAAUAGCUAUGCAUCACAAGCUGUUAACAGUGACUUUUCUGAUGAAACUGCAGGGCCUAGCCCUUCAGCACAAUCAACUUCUAGUCAAGUAUCGGAUGAUCAUAAUCCACUAAAAGUCAACCCGCGCAAUCCUGUGUUCAGGCCAUUUGUUAUGUCCCCUCCUCAGCAGAGACAAGUUGAUAAUUCUGGGUUGACAUUUGUUCCAACAGGUCCACCAGUUCCUUUUGUCGUAUAUCCCUAUAUUCCUGGCACUACUGAUAGUUCUGCGGCUCAGUUUGAGAGAAGUGAAGGAAAGGAUCAGUUUCCUGUUGACAUGGCAUUCCAAAAUUUUGGUUCACAUGAUGAUGCUGAUCUACCUGAUGCAAAUAUUACAACUCCACCAGGCAGUGUUGUAGCAGAUCAUGAUCACAUGUCUGACAUUUUGAACAGCGAUUUUUUGAGCCAUUGGCAAAAUUUGCAAUAUGGGAGGUUCUGCCAAAAUGCACACCCUCCUGCUCCUGUAUUAUACCCUGUUGCUAUGCCACCUAUGUACUUGCCAGGCCAUUUUCCACUGAAUGGCCCUGCAACACAGCCUGCACAUAGGUUUAAUUGGGCACAAGUAAGGAGCCAUGGUCAAGGGGUAGUUCCUGUGACGCCUCUGCAACCUACUUCUGAAAGAGCAUCUGGUGUUUUCCAGCGCUAUGGAGAAGAUGCGCCAAGAUAUCAUGGUGGCACUGGGACAUACUUGCCAACUCCUAAGGUUCCAUUCAAAGAUAGACAGUCAAGUUCAAGAAACUACAGAGGGAGUUAUAAUAGUGAGCAAGUGGACCAUAAUGAUAAAGAGGGAAACUGGGCAAAUUCAAAACAAAGAAAUAUGGGAUGUAGCUAUGGGCGUGGCCAAUCAGAAAAAUCUGGUGGUAGGCAUGACAGACAGAUAUCUGAUGAAAACCAAUCUGAAAGGCACUGGCAACCUUAUAGAAGUGAUUCAUACAGGAGGGAAGCCGGUGGUUCAUCUAGUGUACAGAGCCAGUCAUUUGAAAAUACAACCUCUACCCACGAUCCUGUAAACAAGGCAUACGGGGUUCCUUCACAAUCUUCUACUGUUGCUAGUGGAACUAGGGCUUCAACAGAACCAGUUAUGGUGUAUUCCUAUGAUCAGUCUGUAGAUUACGGUGCUCCUUGUAAACCAAUCGAAUUCGGUUCAUUUGGGGCUAUCCCUAUGGAUUCUAGUGAGAUACAACAAGCACAUGAAGUACAUACAAAUGGAUUUUAUAAGCAGAGGCAUGCCCUAUACAAAGGUACUUCCUCGCGUUCAUCCCCUGAUCAACCUUCGAUGCCUCACCUACGAAGGAGUUGAUGCCCAGAUUUGCUGUGGUCUAUUUCCUUGAUGCUGACUGGCACAGCACCAUGAGCUCUACUGUCUGGCUGUUGUCCGGAAGUUCAGAUGUACAUCAGUACAUGUACCAUACUUUUAUUCUGAGACUUGAAUUCAUCAGCCCACCAGAUGCAUGUGCUUCAUGUGGCCAAGCUAGGACAAAGCUGGGAUGACCAAUCAGGAAUCGAUCUCAUGUGCUCCCAGCAUCCAAGCUAGCACCAAGAUAGGAUUAUCAUCUUCAUCAAGAAUUGAUCUGAAGAUUAGAAGCACGGAUUACUGGAGCAAGCUAACUGAUGAGGACAUCAACACCAACAAUACAUCCACACCUACAAAAGUACCAGUUUCUGAUCCUAUAACUCGCGCUCGUGCUCGUCAACUUAAUCAUCAAGUAAGUUCACUCUUGAGUUCCUGUCCAUCCUAUUUAGACCAUGGAGAUACGUGCACUCUUAUUUUAAUUAGGAACCAUGGAGAAGACCGAAAGGGAAAUGGACUCGCGCAGGUUGGAUUCGGACUCCAUGACAGUACCAACUUGUGAUGGUCACCAAGGUCGCAUACGGACACGGAUUGGGAUGUUCAAGUACUUCACGGAUUUGUUAUGAAGUCUAUUUUCAUAUGGAUCUGGACUCAAGUCUAUAUCUGGUCUGAGGCGGUCGCAAUGACCAAUUUACUACCGAUAGGUUUUCUGGUGCUGCGUCACCUUAUUUUGGUCCAAUGGGUCAUGUAUGAAGUUGGGUCCAUUAGGGACAUGUCCUAGGGUUGGAGCACGACCCCAACACCCUCCCGGUCGUCCUCCUAGGCAUUAAUAAGAAUUAGAGUUGCCACAAACAGAUUGGGUUUUGUUUAGAUCAAGUUUAGCUCUCGCUACUUCUGUAAGCGCGCGUGUUGGAUCAGCCGCCCUUCUUGCUGUCUUCGGAACCCCACCUUAUUAAGAUUGAGUUGGAAACCUUCAUCUUCAUCUAGUAAAUU